CAUGGCUCAGGAUGAACGCUAGCUACAGGCUUAACACAUGCAAGUCGCGGGGCAGCAUAGUGAUUGCUUGCAAUUACUGAUGGCGACCGGCGCACGGGUGAGUAACGCGUAUCCAACCUACCCUUUACUACGGGAUAACCCGGCGAAAGUCGGACUAAUACCGUAUGUAGUCCAUUGACGGCAUCCGAUUUGGACCAAAGGCUUAGCGGUAAAGGAUGGGGAUGCGUCCGAUUAGCUUGACGGCGGGGUAACGGCCCACCGUGGCCACGAUCGGUAGGGGUUCUGAGAGGAAGGUCCCCCACACUGGAACUGAGACACGGUCCAGACUCCUACGG
rnacentral:rRNA from 1 species